rnacentral:rRNA from 1 species
CCUACGGGAGGCAGCAGUAGGGAAUAUUGCUCAAUGGGGGAAACCCUGAAGCAGCAACGCCGCGUGGAGGAUGAAGGUUUUCGGAUUGUAAAGUCCUUUUGUCAGAGAAGAUAAUGACGGUAUCUAACGAAUAAGCACCGGCUAACUCCGUGCCAGCAGCCGCGGUAAUACGGAGGGUGCAAGCGUUACUCGGAAUCACUGGGCGUAAAGAGCGCGUAGGCGGGAUAGCAAGUCAGAUGUGAAAUCCUAGGGCUUAACCAUUGAACUGCAUUUGAAACUGUUAUUCUGGAGUAUGGGAGAGGUAGGUGGAAUUCUUGGUGUAGGGGUAAAAUCCGUAGAGAUCAGGAGGAAUACUAGUGGCGAAGGCGACCUGCUGGAACAUAACUGACGCUGAUGCGCGAAAGCGUGGGGAGCAAACAGGAUUAGAUACCCGUGUAGUC